CGCGACCCCAGGUCAGGCGGGGCUACCCGCUGAAUUUA
rnacentral:rRNA from 2 species